rnacentral:rRNA from 1 species
GACGAACGCUGGCGGCGUGCUUAACACAUGCAAGUCGAACGGAAAGGCCCUGCUUUUGUGGGGUGCUCGAGUGGCGAACGGGGGAGUAACACGUGAGUAACCUGCCCUUGACUUUGGGAUAACUUCAGGAAACUGGGGCUAAUACCGGAUAGGAGCUCCUGCUGCAUGUGGGUGGUUGGAAAGUUUCGGCUGUUGGGGAUGGACUCGCGGCUUAUCAGCUUGUUGGUGGGGUAGUGGCUUACCAAGGCUUUGACGGGUAGCCGGCCUGAGAGGGUGACCGGCCACAUUGCGACUGAGAUACGGCCCAGACUCCUACGGGAGGCAGCAGUGGGGAAUAUUGCACAAUGGGCGGAAGCCUGAUGCAGCAACGCCGCGUGCGGGAUGACGGCCUUCGGGUUGUAAACCGCUUUCGCCUGUGACGAAGCGUGAGUGACGGUAAUGGGUAAAGAAGCACCGGCUAACUACGUG